rnacentral:SRP_RNA from 1 species
AAUUGGGUCCUGCGCGGCAGAUGUCUGUGAACCCCGCCAGGUCCGUGAGGAAGCAACGGUAAAUGGACCUCUCUGGG